rnacentral:lncRNA from 1 species
CGCUCCAUGCCAGAGCCCAAGACACUUAGACCAGUUAACUCCACUACCUGUGACAUGGCUGAAUUUACGGAGACAUUUGACAGCCUCGAUUAAACUGCCCUGAUCAUCCGCAAAAACAUGCGACA